rnacentral:misc_RNA from 1 species
GAAUCAGGCAACACCAGUACGAGCUCGAUCGCCUGUAUGCGCGGUUUCGCGAGCUGGACGAACAGAAGAGGCCGCUAUUCCAACAGUUGGCCGUGCUUGCGCAGCAGCGGACCGAGGCGCAGGCUGCGGCACCGGCGAAGCCCGAACAGUCGAAGCCAACGACCGCGCGCUAGUAGCGCUCUUCCUUAAAGGCGGAUUCCCGCUUCUCGCGCGACUUUCUUCCAGUGCGCGAUGUCGCUCCUGAUCAUCGCGGCGAAUUCGGCUGGGGCUAAAAAC